rnacentral:rRNA from 1 species
UACGUAGGGUGCAAGCGUUGUCCGGAAUUAUUGGGCGUAAAGAGCUCGUAGGCGGUUCGUCGCGUCGGCUGUGAAAACCUGAGGCUCAACCUCAGGCCUGCAGUCGAUACGGGCGGACUUGAGUACUGCAGGGGAGACUGGAAUUCCUGGUGUAGCGGUGAAAUGCGCAGAUAUCAGGAGGAACACCGGUGGCGAAGGCGGGUCUCUGGGCAGUAACUGACGCUGGAGGAGCGAAAGCGUGGGAGCGAACAGG